CUCUCUCACAGAUGCUACAUCACACUGCAGAGUCUCCCUCCUUCAUUCUCUCCCUCUCUUCUAUCCAUCUGCUCUCUGCUUUUUCAUUCGCUCCCUCAACUCCUCGCCAGCUGUCAGUUCUUUUGCUGUGGCGGAGCAACAACUGGCUUCUUUCGUGGCUGGAUCAGGAGAGAGGAAAGAGAGUGGUAGAGAGAGAAAGAGAAGAAGGUAAAAGAGAAGAUCUUUUGUUGAGCAUCCAUUCACAGCCACUCAUUCCUUUCUGCGAGCAACAGCCGCAGCAUCAGCACCACUCCUGCCACAGCCGGCUCCCCCGCUGCUGGAUACUUCGAUUCCUGCCUGGAUCUGCCUCCUCCUUUCUCCUCUGGGAGAGCUUCCUGGAAAUGGGAGGGGGAGAGAGAUCGCCAUCCCCCAGUUUGCUGUGGACCCUCAAGAAGGCAUCUGCAGAAGCAAUGAAGGGGGAGUGAAUUUUAGAAGAGAUACAUCUGGAGAACUGGGGCAGCUGAGGGGAGGCAACAUACCCGGUUAGAUGAGAGCAGAGAUGAGGAUCUGACCAGUAGAAGCAAAGGUGGCAUGGAAAUCCUGAUGUCACCGCUGGAUCAGGCCUUCCAUGAAGCAGGGGCCAAGCUGCAUGGUCAUGGCCCAGGUAAGAGGCUGGCCAUGGGGUUCCGGGUUACACCACACUCUCUUCAUCCUCCUAUCACCCCAAAAGUCUGUGCACAGAGGGAAAGGGAGUGAAUCUAGCGGACAUAAGCUUUUAGCCACACAUUUUUUUAAAAUCUUUUUCUGUUUCUCCUUUGAAACAUGCCCCUGGCUCAGACUGUAAAUGCCCCAGUUGUGAAUUUUCUCCUGUGCAGAGGAGCCAUUGAUGGAGCCUUGCCUCACACUGCAGCAAGGUGUCUUCAAUCAAUGCAACUGCCCUACUUGUUCUGUAUCUAUAUACGUCCAUUUGCCUCUGGAGCAUGAAGGGGGGCUGCUGAUGGUGGAGGCGGUGACCAUGGUGGUGAUGAUGAUGAUGAUGAUGCAAAGGCAGUUGCGCUGCUCACUUGGUUUCUGGUUUAUCUCCCUGUGUUUACUGAAAGACUCUCUUCGGUGACGGGUAUUCUUGGGUGGAUAAUACGGAUCACGUUGUUAUUGCUUAAGAAUACGCGUAGUUGAGGAGAGUCCCCUCUUCGCCAAAUACCAUCAACACCCCAAAGCCCCAGACACCCACCCACCCCACCUCAUCCUGCCUCACCUUCCAAACCCACUAAGAUGUCAAGGUCUGUCAGGUUAGAUGAGCUACAACUACAUACACCACCUAUCACAAAAAAAGGAAAAAAGAAAUCGCAAGGUUCUUUUCGCCUUCUUUUUCUGUCUUCUAGUUUCAGUAUGAGGCUGAAAGCAUGCUUAGGUUUGUCCCCCAUACAUUUGUCAAUGUGUCUCUGUCUCCAUGGUGAUGGACGGCGUAAUGUGCUUUGUGUGUGUCAGUCUGUGAAAACUGUUGCCUUGAGAUCGUUCUUUUUUGCAAAGAAAAACUGGCUUUUUGAUUCACGUUAAAGUAAACAAUGGAUUUGUACCUCCUUCUGCAUUCCCAGCAUGGCAGCAUGUGCAUGUGUCUGCAUGUCCAGAUUUCCGCACAAUACAACAUGUAGUCUUGGCCCUUGCUAAAUGCACUGGUUACCAGCAAAAAAUGGCCAAAAUCUUUCUUCUCCUUACUCAUUUCAAUACUAAGAGGCUGCUUAUGUCAUACAUAGGAACUACAACAAUCAUGUAAAGCUCUCAAAUGUGAAGGUCAAAUAAAGGGAUUUAUAAAAAACUUUAUUUGGACUACCAUGCAACACGCUGCUAGUUUAGCUCAAAGUUCAUUCAAAACAUUCAUAUUUCACAAUUUAAAUAUUGAUUCAGGAUUUUUUUCAUGUGCCAUUACUGCUUCUUUAAUAAGAAACAUCAGGAUACAAUGACAUUUCACAAGUUUUACCAUUGGGAGGUACUGCAGUGUUUUUUUUUUUGGAGUUACGGUUUAAUCCUGUAUGUUAAAAACAUUAAUUAAAAAGCAAAAACUUCUAGGCUUUUAAUUAUUUCAAUCAGACAAAAACAAGCCAGUCUUUUUAGGGCGGAGACCCUCAGGUAGCAGACGGUGUACAACAAGAAUGGAUUUGUGUAGUGGUUACUUCACAUUUAUGUAUUGAAAAACCACAUAAUAACUGUGAGAAGUACAGUACUGUGCAAAAGGUUUAGGCAAGUGGGAACAAAUACUGUAAACAAAGAAUGCUUUCAGAAAUAAAUAAUUAAAAAAAUGCAAAGUGAGCAAACCCAAACAUACAGCCAAAGUCAUUAAGAACAAUCUUCAGCAUAAAGAAGAACAAGACUUACUGGAAGUGAUGGUUUGGCCCCACAGAGCCCUGAUCUCAACAUCAUGGAGUGUGUCUGGGAUGACAAGAAGAGACAGAAGGAUGUGAGAAAGCCUCCAUCCACACAAGAUCUGGAAGAAUAGAUGCUGUUUUGAAGGCAAAGGUUGGUCACACCAAAUAUUAAGUUGAUUUAGAUUUCUCUUUUGUUCAUUCACUGCAUUUUGUUAAUUGAUGAAAAUAAAUGAUUAACACGUCCAUUUUUGAAAGCAUUCUUUUUUUACAGCAUUCUUUCACACCUGCCCAAAACUUUUGCACAGUACUCUAUAUAAUGAGUUUAGGGACCUGCUAAUGGCUUUAAGAUUUAAUUUUGUUUCAUAUGAAUCAAACCAUAACACUACUGAACAGUAAAUUCAAAAGCGGUGAAAUUACAUUGAUUAGAAAGAGCAGACUUGCAAUAUUUAAAACCAACUCCUCUCUGGGAAUUUUCUUUCUAACAAAGAAGUCUACACAGACACAGACUCAUACCACACUGCACAGCUUUCCAAUGCCUUUUCAUAAAAAGAUUUAUACUAGCAUAGACGCUGCAGUAUAGAAAUCUCUGCAUGAUCAUGGGAGGUGACGUGUGAGGGCAUGGCUCUACGAGUCAAGUCAAUCCUAUUAGGUGUUUAAAUGGAUUUUACAUGGGUGUUAAGUUUGAGAAUGUGCCAUGAGACAAGGAGAGGGGAAUCCAUAUUCAUGGUGCAUCGUUCCGACAUGGAAAAUGCUGCUUAUAGACCAUUUGAGUCAGGGACAAUUGUUCAUCUAGACACCUCUCUCAGUGCAUAAAUUGAGCUGUCGACUACUCGUGGUAGACAUUUUGUUUUCUCAGCUAUAAGUGUGUGUGUGUGUGGGGGGGGGCCUGGGGUGAGAGCGAGAGAGACAGAAAGGCUCAGCAGCAGUAUUACAUGUUGCUGCGAUAAAUGGCAUUCAAGCUGUAAUUUGCAUAAAAAAGGGAUGAAGAGAUGGAAAGUAGGAGGCAGCUUGUCUGAGCUCGGCCCCCAGAAAUGCACUAUAUGCUAUCAGAUAAAAGGAGAUUUCACUCUAUCAACAAUGCUCAAUGCUAGCUAAUGGUAUGUCUAUACCUCUAACAACAAAGGCUUUCUGACAUGCGUGUGGUUCUAAUUACAUAAAUCAUCCAUAUCACUACAAUUUUAAAUUAUUCAAACAGCACAAUUGCAUGUUUAACCCUGGGCGUAGCUUGUACAGUUGUUUUCCCCAAGUGGAAAAAAACAAAGAGGUGUGUUUACCUUUCUGUGGGAGGUGAUAAAAAUUGAGCAUUUGUGGCCUGAUGAAAAUCUGAAAAAAUAAAAUCAAAUAACAUAUUUCCUGAGUGUUUCAUGUGUUGCCAGGAGUGAUGUGGCGUGAAAACCUUUACAUUGUUUGAUUCCUGUGUGUCCAUGUUGCUGUGGGUUUGUUUUCUGCUGCUGCUGCUGCUGCUAAAGGGCCUCCGCUGACUGACAUCAUUGCUGCCACGACAACCACUUACUCCGCAUCCAUACUUUCAUUCACUGAUACACAGUCAGCCUGGGCUGACUGAUCAGUUUCAAGGGAUGGAUUCAUGGUAAAGUCAAACUGCUAAAGUAACACAUGAACUGUGAUGGGGUAAAGCAAGGAAAAGAGGAGAUUUUGCUGAAACACACACAUGCACACACACACACACACACACACACACCAAAAAGCUUUGGAAUUAAAUGGAUGUGUUAUGAAGUACUACGCAUUCUGAGUGCCUGCCUGUUUUGAACUGUCUCUGCCUGUUGUCAAACUGUUGUAAAGUGCUGCCAUAUUGUAAAGCCCUCUGUUGAUGCAUCACUUUAAGCACAAUGGACAAUUUCUUCCAGGCUCUGAUAAAUCAGCAAAUGUACAAGAUGCUGAUGAAGGCAAUGUUGUUCAUUUUUUGCUGGCAGAGAGCUGCUGUGGUUGGGGUUAAAUGCUGCUUAAGAUGAUAAUAAAUACAAUAAUUGUUUUACACAUAACUAGGGAUGGGUGCUGCAUGCAUUGAUCAUUUCAACCAGAUUUGAAUGUUCCUUUUUCCUGUAUGUGUGCCUUAUCUCUGUCAAGAAUAUGUAACUGUAAAUAAAAACAAUAAAUCUCUCUUCAAAAUGUAAA